AGAUGUUAAAAAUUAAAAUCGAAGAACUACAAAUACGGGCUCAAGAAUAAAAUAAAUUUCCAAGAACCCCCGGCAAAUCUGGGCCUAAUAGUAAAAGAAAUUACCCGAAGCAUAAACCGAUAAAAGAAGCGUGAAAACAUUUAAAGCCCGAAACUACGUCAAAACCCUCAAGAACGUGAAAUCACAUCAAAGGCGUUAAACAUUUCAAACAUGCAGGAAGGUCAUUAUGCAAAAAUAAUACUCAUAUAAGGUGAUUUCCAGACAGAACGUUUUUCCAAAUCGGUUUCUUGGGGGAGACCAAGGCUAGUCGGCGCAAGGGACUUGACGGUUCAAAAGAUUUUAUUUUAAAACCAGUAACGAUUAGAAAUUGAAAUUUAGUUCUAAAAUAGAAUUCUAUAAUAUCCAUAUUUGGGG